rnacentral:rRNA from 1 species
ACGGGUGAGUAAUAUAUCGGAACGUGCCCUAGAGUGGGGGAUAACUAGUCGAAAGACUAGCUAAUACCGCAUACGAUCUACGGAUGAAAGUGGGGGAUCGCAAGACCUCAUGCUCCUGGAGCGGCCGAUAUCUGAUUAGCUAGUUGGUGGGGUAAAAGCCUACCAAGGCGACGAUCAGUAGCUGGUCUGAGAGGACGACCAGCCACACUGGGACUGAGACACGGCCCAGACUCCUACGGGAGGCAGCAGUGGGGAAUUUUGGACAAUGGGGGCAACCCUGAUCCAGCAAUGCCGCGUGAGUGAAGAAGGCCUUCGGGUUGUAAAGCUCUUUUGUCAGGGAAGAAACGGUAGUAGCUAAUAUCUAUUACUAAUGACGGUACCUGAAGAAUAAGCACCGGCUAACUACGUGCCAGCAGCCGCGGUAAUACGUAGGGUGCAAGCGUUAAUCGGAAUUACUGGGCGUAAAGCGUGCGCAGGCGGUUGUGUAAGUCAGAUGUGAAAUCCCCGGGCUCAACCUGGGAAUUGCAUUUGAGACUGCACGGCUAGAGUGUGUCAGAGGGGGGUAGAAUUCCACGUGUAGCAG